UAUAUAUAUAUAUACACACACAUACAUACAUACAGAAAAUUAAUCCAGGGCCUAGCAAAGGACCUUGCAUAAUAAAAGGAAGGACAAGAGGGAGGUAAUGAAAAGGUGGAGGGAAAUAAGGAGGAGGAACAGAAUAAAGAAGGAAUUACUAGUGCACAAUUCAAAAUGUCUAGUAGUACAUAAUAAAUGCUUAAUAAUGAAAGAGGAGGAAUGGAUGAUAGUAAUGAUUUACAGUUUUCUAGAGAUUCUGAUACUUUUUAAGAGAAUAUAUGUUAUGUAAACAUGACAUCCAUUUUAGGAUGAAUGAAGAGAAACAAGGUUAUUAAUUGCCAAGAGACAAAAUGUAGCUGGAAUAUGUAACAAAAUAUUUAAAGCGAAAUCCUCAAAUACAUUUACAAAUUACUUUAUAUUUACAGGGAUAAAAAUGUCAUUUCUUCUGAAAUUUUAGAUGGCAAGUUUGAGCCAAAUUCAUAUUAGCCAUUUCCGGAAUCCAUGUGAGAGAAUAAUAGUACAGAAAUUGCUUAUCCAGAGUGUAAGGAGGCUGCAGCAUCAGCUGGAAAGUGAGUCUGUGACAGGCUUUUCACCUCAUUGAGAGGCAGAGCCACAUGCUGUGAGAUGCUGAGGCCCCUGCUGUGAAAUGGUGUACUGCACAUUUGCUGGGUUUGUUGUAUUGCUACGCUCUUUGCAUUUUGUGGUUCAGGCAAUAAGCAGCAGAAUAUGCGAAAUGAGGACAAGUAUAUUAAAGAUAUCUUGUAGCUUUUGGUUGCACAUAUUUAAACUGCUAGAAACAGUAGCUCCGGGUUCAUACUUUCUGUCCUUUAUAUGUGUUUAAUCAGUUAGAAAGCCUAUCUCUGCUUUGUAAAGCAAUAACUAGGAGGCUGAUCUUUAUGUUCAGAAAAAAAGGGACAUGUCAGAAACACUGUUAUCAGGAAUCUUAUGCAUAUGGAAUGGUGUGUAGUAGGUAGAAAGAGACAGAUCCAGAAAAGCUAUUUCUUCCUGAACGGAAAUGCUUACUAUAAGAUUAAUUGCAUGACCCUAAGCAGAGACCCUCUCAUCCAGCUAUAGGCAAAAGAGUUUCCAGAGAAAGUGACAUGUGUGAACUGCUUGUAUGAGCUCUAUCUCUGAAAGGAAGGGGCUUGGAUAUUUCCUACUAUAUCCUUCCCCUGCUUCAAGACUUUAAUCCAGAUGAAGUGACAUGAGAGUGACUCUGUCUGGUAGGAGACAGAAAUGAUUCUAUGACAAUAAUACAAAAUAUUAUAUUAGCCUUGUUUCCUCAUUCAGUGGUAAGUAGUAAAAAUUCAGCUUGCACUGUCUUAAACAAAGAAAAUAAAAUAUUGACUCCAGGGUAUAUGAUCAGGCAAAGCUGGAUCCUUCUACGCAGAGAUUGCUAUCAAGAACCUAACUUACUCCAUUAACUUGACUUGUUUUUUGCUUGGUGUUGGCUUUGUUUUUAGGGUCUUUCUGAACAGCUGAACACUUAUAAUCCACCCUCUUAGCAACACCAGCUGAAGUAUCUUUCUUUUCUACUACACAUCCAGAAACAGUUCUUAAGUUGAUGCUCAUUGGUCCAGAUUGGGACGUGUAUCCAUUCCCGAACCCAGCACCAUCACUCUGAUUAACAGAACCUGGGUCAUAUACCUUCUCUUUCCCCUCAAUCAGAUUAGUCUCAAACCCACCCACACCACUGGUCUGACAGUGAGAGAGGGAUGGCUCUAUGAACUCCGUGGGAAAAAAACAAAAGCACAAACAAAAUAAACCCAAAAACAAAAGAGAGAAAACUUAAGCAAGUGGAAGGACAUUCUAUAUUCUUGGAUAGAAUGGCUUAACCUCACAGAAAUGUCAAUUCUCAAGUUAAUAUAUAAAUUUAAGGCUUUCCCCCACUACCCUGCCAAACUGCCACUGAAUUUUUCCCCUGGAGCUAGACAAGUGGAAUCUAAAGGUAAUUUGGAAAAUAAACAAAAGAAGAACAACUAGGUAAAUGCUGGAAUAAAGAGUAAUGAAACAAACCAUGCUUUAUUGUCUCAUUAGUGUUUCUAAUAUUACUUGUUACAAACAAUAGAGCAUUCUUUACAUGUAUUCAUGUUCAUGUGUGCAAGCUUUUUCUCUGAGGUAUCUCUUUAGAAUGGGAAUUAGUAGAUUUAGGAUAUGUUCAUUUACUAAAUAGUUCUUUUUUAAUUUUAAAGGUUUAAAAACUUAAAUAUAAUGUGACUUAUGCAUAUUUCUGUGUAAAUAUUUUCCCAGUACAGUUUACAUAGUUAUUAAAAGUUCUGGGAAUGAUAGAACUCACCCCACAGAAUGAGAGUUAAUUGAGAGUUGAGUUUACUGAACGAUUAAUAUAAUUACACUACAGAAAAUCUAAAAGUAGCACACAUUGUGAUGUAAUUAACUGAACUUCUAGUAUCUUUUCAGUGGGCAAGUCUUGUAACUCUUGGUUAGCCUUUUUCUUUUUCUUUGAUCAUUUUGGUUCUCUGUGGCCCAUGAUUUCCAUUCUGGUCCUCCUCCCAUCUUUCUUGAAUUGAUCAGUCCCUUAUAUCAAACAUUUAAUUACUGGAAAAGAAUUCUCAGACUCUUUGAGUUUUUUUAAAAUCCACACAUGAAUGAGUUUUCUGUUUCAAACAUGUAACACAGUGCUUGGCUAAUAAAAGACCUUCUGUUCAACUAAAGUGUUCAUCAAUUAUAGUUUAUAGCUCCAACCACCCCUGACCUUAUUUGCAUAGCACCAUGCAAAGUUCCAUACUGGAACUUCCAAUGAUGUUUGAAAAUAAUAUUGCCAAAUGGUUCCAAUAAAAAUACUAGGAUCACUUGAGAAAAAAGUAUUAACCACAAACCAAAAAUACACAUGCCAUGGGGAGCAGUUUGUUGAUGACAAUCUAUUUUACAUCUUAUGCUUUACAUUGGAUCAUUUCUAACCAAAUGUUCAUUUUUUCAAGAAAAUACUAUGUUUUCAAACAAGUGAAUUAUAUAUCCCAAAAAAGAAAGAUUUUUGGGGUCAACAUGUACUGUGCUGUAUUAAUUGGUCCAUAUAUUUACCAUGAAGAGUACUGAUUUUGUCAAGAAACUUCUCUGAAGUUCAUUUCAGAGUAUUUUUCUGAGAAUUUUGCAAACCAGGGUAGCAUUUUAUAGCUGAAUUUUAAUUUUCACAUUAUAUGUGUAUUACCUAUUAUUGUGUAAUCAAUUGCCCCAGCAUUUUUGUGUCUGUAAAUAACAAUAAGCACUUAUGGUCUGACAUAGCAUUUAUUAUUUUUGUGGAUCAGGUAUGUGGCCUGGCUGGGUGGUUCUGGCACAGUGUUUCUCCUGAGGUUGAGUCAGUUGUUCAUUAGGGCAGCAGCCAUGUGAAGGUUUAACUGGGGCUGGAUGAUCCACUUGCAGAGUGGCUCGCUUACAUAGCUGGCAUGUGGCUCCUUGCCAUAUGGGCCUUUCCAUAAAACAGCUUGAGUAAUGGUCUCAUGCAGGAGCAUGAUUCCCUAUGGCAAGCGUAACAGAAUUUCCACGUGGAAUUGUUCAAAUAUCACCUCCUGUUUUGAGACUCUGAUAGACUACUUCAUUGUACUGAUAGGUAUGACAUGGGAAAAAAUUAGAACUAAUAAUGUAUGUAAUGAAAGGAAUUACUUGUAUGUCAUGAUUUUCUGAAAUCAAAGUCACUGGCAUUAUGUUGGCCAAUUUUUGGAUUUUAUCUCAAAGCCAUAUUUAUGACAAUCCAGUGAAGUGAGUUUUAUUUUCUCCAAUUUGCAGAUCAGAAAACUGAGAAAAUGUCUGCUCAGGUAAUUGUUCCAUGAAGCUUAAAUUUGAAUUUAGGCUGUUGACUCUGAAGCUUUCACUCCUAAAAUUAUAUCAGACUAUACUGUCUCAUCUAUAGCUUUUAUUUACAAAACAGAAAGCUCCAUUUUAUUAGGAGAAUUUUGAAUAUACAAUAACAAGUAGACAGAGUAAUUUUAUGAAUCAAUAUGUACUCAACACCCAGCUGCACUAUCAAUACUUAGCCAUUAAUAUCUCUUCUAUGUUUUUCUCUCCUUAUUUAUUUUGAAGGAAAUCUCAGACAUCAUUUAAUUUUAUCUAUAAGGGCGCUGUGAAAAAACACCAAGACACCAAGACAAACCGAGACACCAAGAACGUUAUAAACUAUGAAAGUCUGGGAGCCUCUGGAUAAGACUCUGCUUGUUUUUGUCUGCAUGCAGCUGAGUCAGAGCUCUCUUCCAAGUGUCACCACUGCCAUUUUCUAAUUUACUCCUGCUUGCCUUAUUAGCGUCAUCUUUGAUCCAGGUUUGCUUUGUGGCAACUCCUUUAACUCACUUGCCCAACAUUUGAGGGUUCAUUUAGCUAAAACGACAAGAUGAUACAGUGGAACGUGGUUGGAGUGCUAGUCAGGUAAAACCUUAGGUUUUAUCCAUUCGUUUGAGACUCGAGCUCGCUUUCUGUGAUGGUUGACAUAUGGUGCUGCAUUAAUUUCCAGGGGCCGAUUUCCUUACUGAAUAGCCACGUCAGCAAAUUUCAGACCAACCUGGCUGCUCUAUCAGGCACAGAUUAAUGACAAUAUAAUACAAUAUGCCGGAGGCAAACGAACAACCCGGGCACCACUGCCGACCUCUUGAUUCUCCCACCUUCCCUCAAGACACUAGGAAUUUAAUGUGCUUAUGGCUACUGGACAGACAGAACGAGGCAGGGUGCUGGGGCGAAUUGGUACACGAAAUACUAGUGAAGUUUAUCUACUUUAUUAUUUUUCUUUAGAUAGAAUAGAAUUAGAAAUAAUAAUGUGGCUGGGUGCGGUGGCUCACGCCUGUAAUCCCAGCACUUUGGGAGGCCGAGGCGGGUGGAUCACGAGGUCGGGAGUUUGAGACCAGCCGAGAUCAAGCCACUGCACUCCAGCCUGGGCAGCAGAGUGAGACUCUUGUCUCGAAAAUAAAAUAAAAUAAAAUAAAUAAUAGAAUUAGAAACAAUCAAAA
rnacentral:lncRNA from 1 species